AAACACUGUGGAAACAGACAAGCUUGUAUUUGGAAGUGGGAUCACUUUCUCAGUUGAACCAAACAGACAAGAAUAUUCUACACCAGAAGUCAUUGCACUUAAAUCAAGUGAACCCAAACAAUAUAGCAGCAAAUUUAACAUAGCUUGUUUGGCAAGGACAUUCUACCCUAAGAACAUCAGUCUUGAUGGGCCUGAGGGUCACAUUGUAUAUGAUCUGAAGGCACCUCUUGUCACAUCAGAGGGGAUGUACAGUACCUGGAAGGUAAUUGGAGUAACACCAGAUGCAGAGGGGACCUGCAGGGCUGUGCACAAGAGGAAUGAGACUGCAACCAGCACAAUCCUGCCAGAAGAGAAAGCUGAAGAACUGGCGACAAUGAAUGCUUGCAACAUUACGGAUGCCUCUACAAAAGAUGUCAAAAUGGAAAAAAUGAAUAUGCUCUUCAUGGCUGUUUUGUGUUUGAGAGUCCUGCUGGCAAAAAGCAUUGCCUUCAGUACUCUCAUGACUAUCAAGCUAUUCAUCUUUGAGGCUAGACCAGAGAACCUCAGGUUACAUCAAAAAUCUUCUGCUGGCAGCUUCAAGUGGAGAAAGUCUGGAGAAAAGUCCAGACAAGUGAGGACUACAAAGGGAGAAUCCCCAAAUCCAACAAAUUUGAAAAAGGGGAAGGAAAAAAGUACAGGGUAAGCGAGCCAGCGAUGGGCUGAAGAGUGGGAGAAAACAUGUAACAGUGUAAUUUAAACACUGUGGCUCAGCUUUGCUGCCAAUAAACAUCUAAGGAACCAAAGAAGCA
rnacentral:lncRNA from 1 species